rnacentral:rRNA from 1 species
CCUUCACUCUGGGACAAGCCCUGGAAACGGGGUCUAAUACCGGAUAACACUGCGGAUCGCAUGGUCUGCGGUUAAAAGCUCCGGCGGUGAAGGAUGAGCCCGCGGCCUAUCAGCUAGUUGGUGGGGUAAUGGCCUACCAAGGCGACGACGGGUAGCCGGCCUGAGAGGGCGACCGGCCACACUGGGACUGAGACACGGCCCAGACUCCUACGGGAGGCAGCAGUGGGGAAUAUUGCACAAUGGGCGAAAGCCUGAUGCAGCGACGCCGCGUGAGGGAUGACGGCCUUCGGGUUGUAAACCUCUUUCAGCAGGGAAGAAGCGAAAGUGACGGUACCUGCAGAAGAAGCGCCGGCUAACUACGUGCCAGCAGCCGCGGUAAUACGUAGGGCGCAAGCGUUGUCCGGAAUUAUUGGGCGUAAAGAGCUCGUAGGCGGCUUGUCACGUCGGAUGUGAAAGCCCGGGGCUUAACCCCGGGUCUGCAUUCGAUACGGGCAGGCUAGAGUGUGGUAGGGGAGAUCGGAAUUCCUGGUGUAGCGGUGAAAUGCGCAGAUAUCAGGAGGAACACCGGUGGCGAAGGCGGAUCUCUGGGCCAUUACUGACGCUGAGGAGCGAAAGCGUGGGGAGCGAACAGGAUUAGAUACCCUGGUAGUCCACGCCGUAAACGUUGGGAACUAGGUGUUGGCGACAUUCCACGUCGUCGGUGCCGCAGCUAACGCAUUAAGUUCCCCGCCUGGGGAGUACGGCCGCAAGGCUAAAACUCAGAGGAAUUGACGGGGGCCCGCACAAGCAGCGGAGCAUGUGGCUUAAUUCGACGCAACGCGAAGAACCUUACCAAGGCUUGACAUCGCCCGGAAAGCAUCAGAGAUGGUGCCCCCCUUGUGGUCGGGUGACAGGUGGUGCAUGGCUGUCGUCAGCUCGUGU